CGUGGCUUUAAUAUACCGAUGAAAGCUUAGGACGCAUCAUAAUCGAUUUAAUAUCAAGUCGAAAGAAUUUAUUGGCGAAAGAUGGAAAGUUGAUGAAUUAUUAUGAAGAGACAAUUUCGAUUCAAGUACGUGCGCGAGUGUUAAUUAUCGCCCUAUAUCACCGCGUGGUAUCUGUGGAAAAAGUUAAGUUUGGCUAGCAUAACCUAAGUAUGAACAUAAACAAAUACACGUAUUGCUUCCCCAUCGAAAUCAACCGACGUAUACCGAUUGCCAAUAAAAGCUGAUGUUGUUCAGUUUUACGAUAGAAAUGCGGAAGGACGUAAAUUCAUUGGAAUACAAUAUAAUAUUUAUUAUAAAUCGUACGUAAUGUCAUAAAUCUUAAAGGUGUGAUGGAAAAUCAUUCCGUUCGUAUUAAUUACGCGCAAGGUGUCCCUCAUGGGACGGAAGAAUUGUCGAUGGUACACGAAAGCCACGGGAAACAAUACACGGAACACGUUAAAAAACGGGAGGAAAUAGUCAUAUUGACGAACGACGUAAAGGGCGGUUUAUUUAAUCCAAGGGCGUUAUUAUUCCUAACGUUAUGGUAUGUCUUCAGUGGGUGUACAUUAUUUUUAAACAAAUACAUAUUGUCAUACAUGGAAGGCAAUCCAACUAUUCUGGGUGCCUGUCAAAUGUUAAUGACAGCAAUUUGUGGAUUUAUACAAAUGUAUUUUCCCUGCGGCAUGUAUAAGGCUAGUUCGCGUUUAAUGCGACCACCGGGUUUCUAUAAACAUAUGAUACUGGUUGGAUGUACAAGGUUUACAACCGUAGUCUUAGGAUUAGUAUCGCUCAAUUAUGUGGCGGUAAGCUUUACAGAAACUAUUAAGAGUAGCGCACCACUUUUUACCGUCCUUAUUAGCAGAUAUUUAUUAGGAGAACACACUGGAUUGUAUGUAAAUUUAUCAUUGAUCCCUGUAAUGGGUGGUCUGGCUUUAUGCUCGGUAAAUGAAAUCAGUUUCGAUUUACGAGGAUUUAUCGCCGCUAUGGCCACAAACAUGACCGAGUGUCUUCAAAAUGUUUAUUCAAAAAUGUUGAUUAGCGGGGACAAUUUCAAAUAUACACCAGCAGAAUUACAAUUUUAUACAAGUUUAGCAUCGGUCGUGGUACAAAUACCAGUGUCAAUUCUAUUAGUAGAUUUGCCGGCUCUUGAGCAUUCCCUAAGUUUUAAAAUAUUCGCGGCAUUUCUCUUGAAUGGCGUGUUCUUCCAUUUUCAAAGUAUUACGGCAUAUGUACUUAUGGACUAUAUAAGUCCUGUGACGCACAGUGUCGCCAAUACAGCAAAAAGAGCUUUCUUAAUUUGGCUCUCAGUUUUACUGUUCAAUAAUUCAGUAACCGGUUUAUCGGCCCUUGGAACUUGUGCUGUAAUAGCAGGUGUAUUGUUAUACAAUCAAGCGCAAGAAUAUGAUAGAAUUAAAACUGCUAAAUUACGACAUACUUCGAAAAUUAAUUUACAGUAAUAAAAUUUCAAAAUCAAUAAAAAUUUAUAUAAAUAUUGACAACAAAGCCAUAUAAUCAUUGUUUAUUGUCUCACAUCUCUCUAAUAUCAUAUCUAAUAUCUCUAUUUUGUUUCUAAUAUUCAACUAAUAUUAUGGAAUUAAAUUUUCAUUAUUCAUCCUUCGUUUGCUCUUCGUUUGAAUCAUUUAUAACGAUUCCCUCUUUUUUUGUUCUUUCAUAGUAUUACAAAACUUUAUCCAAUUAAUCUAAUUACAUAAAUCUAAGUGGAUUAAGUUCCAGAAAUGUCAAAACCAUAGGAAUAUCUGUCCCUUUCUCAAUGAUAUUUACUUAUUGGAAAUAUUACAUUUAUUUAUAUUCAAUAAAAGUUUAUACACACGUGUAAAUAAAGGACUUUUUUUUUUUCUUUUUUUUUACCAGUAGGAUAUAAAGAAAUGUACAAAUCUAUGCACAGAGAUAUGCGAUCAGGCGAGGAAAUUUAUAUUGACUAAUUUCUUCUUAAAUAAUGAAACUAAUAACAGCAGUUAUAUAACAUAUAUAUAACAAAAAAAUAUACAUAUGUAUAUAUACGAUCUCAAAAAUCGAUGCAGAGCACGUAGCAAAAUAGACCACUGUUGCAUUCUUAUUCGGCUUGUGAUUAUUGGAAUGUGUUACAUUAAACAUUCUUUAAAAAAAUAAUUUCUAAUGAUUUAUAUGUCUCUCCUUUCUAACUCAACAGAAAGGCUGACUGUGUGCGCGCGCGCGCGCGCGCGCGCGUGUUACGCAGGUUCAAUGUCGGCGAUCUGUGAUGUUGAAAUAUUUAAAAACAAUUACACGUGAAUAAUAUUUUUCGUAUCAUUGAGAAGCUUCUAAAGCUUGAUUAAGAUCUGCUAACAAAUCUUUUUCCGUUUCAAGUCCGACGGAUAAACGAAUUAACUGAUCAGUGAUUCCUAGUUCAUUCCUUGUGACUUCUGGGACAGAAGCGUGCGUCAUAACGGAUCUAUAACAUUUAUAUUAUUAUUAUAUAACGUUUAAUAUAUCUCUAUUAUACCUCUUAUAUACUUACGGUAAUUCUGCCAAAGAUUCAUAACCACCGAGCGAUUCUGCUAAAGCAAAUAAUUUAAGACUUUUCAAAAAUUUUUUGGCAUUUCCUUUAAUAUAAAAUGAUACUAUGCCACUGUGACCUGUUGAUUGUUUAAGAGCAAGUUGAUAUUGCGGAUGAGACGGGAGAUCUAAAAAUAUUGAUAUUGAUAUAAAAUAUUGUAUGAUAGACGCAAAAAUAUGUCAUUGGAUAAUUUAUAAAAAGGAUGCAACAAAAAUAACAUAUAGUAUCAAAAUAGAACUAAUACGUACAAGGGUGAAUAACUCUAUCCACUAGAGGAUGUUUAUCUAAAAAUUUGGCAACGGCUAAUCCAUUCUUCAUAUGCCGCUGCAUUCUAAGUUCUAAAGUUUUCAAACUACGAUUGACCAUAGCACAAUCAAAAGGCGACGGAAUUAUUCCCAUUGCUGUAAUAUUUAAAUAUAUCAUUAGUAAAGGUACACUCGCGUCGAUAAGUUUACAUACCAUUUUGUAGAAAACGAAGCUUUUCCGCUAAAUCGUCUCUCCUUGUAAUUACUGCACCCAUGAUAAUAUCCGAAUGUCCGUUCAUAUAUUUUGUUAAAGAAUAUACUACAAGAUCAGCUCCGAGCUCUAAUGGUUUCUACAAACGCACACGUACACACACACACAGAUAUAUAUAGAGUUUUUUACAUCAUUCGAUAAGUUCAAAUUCUACAGAAAUAAUAUCUGCCAAAUUAUAUCACUCACUUGAUAAUAACACGUCAGGAAAGUGUUAUCGACUAUCAAAAUGAUAUCUGAAUUUUUAGACUUUAAAACAUUUGCAAUUUCUUCGAUAUCUGCUAUUUUUAAUAAAGGAUUUGUAGGCGUCUCCAACCAAACCAUCUGGAAAACAAUGUCUGGAUUAAACAUUACAUUUAAAAACGCACACAUUACAUAAAAAGAAGAUCACUUUAUUUUAGAUUUCUUAUUAGACUGACCUUGGUAUUUGGUUGUAUAGCAGCCGUAAGAUUUUCUACGUCUGUCAGGUCGACAAAAGAAAUUUUAAUACCUUGUUUAACUAGACAGUUUCGAAAGAGACGAUUAGUUCCACCAUAUACGUCAUCUCCAGAAAUUAUGUGAUCGCCAGUUUGCAAUAAGCCGGUUAUAGCUGUGAUGGCUCCCAAACCCGAUGAAAAAGUAAAACCAUGCUUUCCACCUUCCAAUGCCGUUAAACAAGUCUCCAAUACAUUGCGCGUUGGGUUACCACUUCUGCCAUACUCGUAGCCCUAAGCAACAUUUCAAUGUGUAUACUUUGUAACCAAAAAAGGGAAAAAAAAAAAAAUAUAUAUAUAUAUAUAUAUAUGUAUGUACGCUUACUGAUCUCAUUUCCUAGACUUACGUUAUGUUCUGCCGGACCAUUUUGUUGAAAGGUGGUAGACAUAACUAAAGGUGGAACUAACGACCAAUGACUCCAUUGCGCCGGAUCUUGACCAACGUGAAUAGCUUUUGUGGCAAAACCUUCCUGUAUAUUAUUAGAUUGCAUUCUGACAAUGUAUAUCUUAUAUUUUGGUAACCUUAAAAUAAUAUAAAUUUUACUUAGAUUUCACCUAUACUAUACCACUCUUAUUUAUAGUUAAAUAUAUUCUCGAUAUUUCCUUAUAUAUCUAUAUAAUUCCUUUAGAUUAGAAUUAAUCUUACAAGAAGAAAGAUUAAAGAAGAAUAUAAAAGAAUCGUUAUUCACGUACUUAUCACGUGAAACUCAGUUAGCAACAAGAUAGUUAAAUCUUGUUAUAGAAUGCAAACUGUGGUUUAAAUUGUGGUUCAAAGUGCAACCUAGCGGUAAAGGAUCAAAGCUAUCCUUGGAUGAUUUACGCCAUCAAUGAAAACGGCCGGUGCUAUUCUAGGAGAGAUUAUGACGAAAAAGAUCUCGAUCAUUUUAAAGACGAAGCCUUGAUUUAAAUGAGAUCUAAUCGAUUAUAGUUUUCAGCUCAUCCUCCUACGAUCCACAUUAUAAGGAUGCGUUGCGCUUUGUUGUGUUUGGACAUGGGACACGUGAUGGAACCUUUAUCGUUCGUUCAUAUUUCAUGUCUCUAACCUAAAAGCAUGAAACUUUUGAGCCUGAGAAUGUAGAUGUAUUAAUUUCGAUGAGACAAUGUCGUAUCAAAAUUCACCGUUUUCAACGAUGUACGCCCAAGAAGAUUAUGACAUCGACGAAGAUAA